UGGGGAAUUUUUCGCAAUGGGGGCAACCCUGACGAAGCAAUGCCGCGUGGGUGAUGAAGUCUCUUGGGACGUAAAAACCCUUUCGACAGGGACGAAACCGCAAGGUUGACGGUACCUGUAGAAGAAGCCCCGGCUAACUCCGUGCCAGCAGCCGCGGUAAUACGGGGGGGGCAAGCGUUGUUCGGAAUUACUGGGCGUAAAGGGUGCGUAGGCGGCUUUCUAAGUUGGAUGUGAAAACUCUGGGCUCAACCCAGAGCCUGCAUCCAAAAACUGGAAGGCUAGGGUUCUGGAGGGGAAAGCGGAAUUCCUGGUGUAGCGGUGAAAUGCGUAGAUAUCAGGAGGAACACCGGGUGGCGAAGGCGGCUUUCUGGACAGACACCGACGCUGAGGCACGAAAGCUAGGGAGCAAACAGGAUUAGAUACCCUGGUAGUCCUAGCCCUAAACGAUGGAUACUUGCUGUGAGGGGGAUUGAAUCCCUUUGUGGCGAAGCUAACGCAUUAGUAUCCCGCCUGGGGAGUACGGUCGCAAGGC
rnacentral:rRNA from 1 species